GUUAUAAAACAGUGCCAAUGUUUUCAUGAAGGGGAGUAGGACUUGUGGUAUAAUAUAUUUUAAAUACAAGCUAGCAAUGAUUACUGCUUUUUAGUAUGAAUAGAGUUUUAGAAUUAUUAUUGGAGUGGACUUUUGAGGUUAGCAUUACAGCUGGUCUGUGCAGAUUGAUGUUGGAAAUGGCUAUAUGAAUUGACUUCUAAAAAUAUUAAUUACUGUUGCUGAAGGAUAUAAAUGUGUGAUUAUUUCUCCAUACUCCUAAAUUAGAACUUGUGAAGAUUCUUAACAUGUUGACAGCUGGGUGCUUUCUCUUCAGAAGACAUAAGAUUUAAAAUCCCCAUUCUGACACUGACAUGACUGCAAAUCUAUAUAUCCUGCCUGAGUAUCCUGCACUACCAAACAUAUGCCUUACUUUUACAUGUAUUUUACUGCAUGUCUGAAGAAGACCAAGAGUGGCUAUAUUUCCUUUUGGGUCUUUCUAACUCUACCAAACAGUUUCCAAUAUAAACGGACCAUAUUAAUCUUGCAUAAAUAAGAGAAAGAAUGUAGUUGGUAAAUUCUAAAAUAAUUAAUGUAAAGAUUCUCCAUUUUCUACAAAAGUGGAAGUUUAAAUUAUUGAAGGUUAAUGUAUUGUGUUUUGAAUUUUCGCUUAACUUUAUUUCUCUCUCUACCAUUAAAUGCUAUUGAUUUUUUAUUACUUGUUGCUCUACAUAUAAAAUGGUUCUUAUCAAGUUAACAUUUACAUUAAUUGGUUAGAAAUGGAGAAUCUAAAGAUAACAAAAUUUAAGUAUAGCAAUGGUUUUAUAUGGAUAUGUAUGUAAAAUGAUACAUUCAAGAGAUUACAGGUAGCAAUAUAUAAGUAAUCCUUAUUUACUACCAGUCACAGACAUUUCCUGACUAAAUAACUAGUCUAUUGCUACAGGUACUCGACUCAGUUGUAAUUGAUCAUAAGUCUAACAGGAUCAAGGGGAGGUAACACCUCAUACUUUAAGUUUCUUUAGUGUUGAGCAAAUAUCACUUAGACAUUCUCUUCUUCAUUUUUUAGUAUUUUGUUAGUAAAUUGGCUAAGGUUGUUUUGUGAAAAAAUAAAAGCAGAAGCAUAGUUUUAUUUUCAAAGAUAGUAUCAAAAGUAAAACUUGGUAUUCAAUUUUUUGUAUCUCACUGAUGAAUUGACCAGUUACAGCUUAAAAACCUUCCUGGAAUGUUAUGAAAUGAGAACAUUAUUAUCUUUUUAACAUACUAUAUAGUAAAAUAUCUUUUCUAUCGAUCACCGAAAAGGGAAGUCGUCAAGAACACAGUAUUAUUCUAUUUAGGGGGUUCACUCUAUACACACAAAUUUUUGAUGAAGAAAAAAAAAUAAUUAUUUCUUCUUUCCAUAUUUUAUUGGUAAAUUUAUUUGGGUUUUUACUGCAAACAUCACACAGCAGUAGCACAGGCAAACUUUGGGGUUCUGAGUAAUCCUUUCAAAAGUUUUUAUUGCUGUUUUUACAAGUUGUGUAGUGUACAUGUGUUCAUUAUUUCUACUUGUAUCAUAUACAUGUUUUUAAUGGAUUAAACUGUAAAACUAUUGUAAUUUGAGCACUACCAGAGUAAAUGAACUGUUUUACAAAGCAUUUAUUUAAUUUUUCAUGCAUUGAGUUACGCCAAGUCCAAAAAAUUGUAGAAUAUUGAUUAAACAUCUUACUUUCAAGGAAUGUAAAAUAAAAGUUUCUGUAAAACAAUAAUUUGUGUACUUAAUGUAAUGUAAAAUUUUGUAUACUAUUGAAUUCAUAUGAAACUUUUUUCUUCUUCUGUAGGAUAGUUAGUGGUUCAAAUAAUUUUUAUGCCUGUUGAGAAUAGCAUUACAUGCAAGUUUUUGGAAUUUCCACUAAAAAGUAAAAAUAAAAUUUCCAUCAAAGUACACUGUCUGCAAAAAAAGUUCAAUGCAAGAGUCUUAUAAUACUCAGACUUUUUGUAUCAUGUCAAUUAAGCAUAGAAAUAACCAAAAAGAAACAAAUUUCUCUUUCCUAAAGCUUCUAUAUGCACUUUUAUAUGUAAAUAUGUGUUACAGCCUAAAUUGGCCUGAACUUAUUUUUAGUCAUGCACCCCCUUGGACCAUUUCCUAACUGUGUGGUAUGCUAUUGUAACUUUUCCAUCCAAAUAGAAUUAUGCAAAAUUGCUUUUUUAAGCACUCCCUAUUUUAUUUAAUACAUGUACAUAAAAUAACAAGCCCCCCAUUCAUAUAUGGUGAAAUGGGAUAAAAUCAACUUGGUUAUCAGAAUUUGUGAUUAUCUCCCCUCAUUAAAAGAACUUAUGCCAGUGUAGGAAUUUUACAGGAAAUAUUUCGCCUCAAGUCUUUAAAUAAGCCUAAAUCAAACUUGAUUCAUCAAACACCUUGUUUUAAACUUCAGCAGAACAGUUAAUAUGCUGGUCAAUGCCCCAUGUCCUCUUCAAAAUGAAUAACUGUUUAGAAAGUCCUUAAAUGAUAAAGAAUUGUUUCUUUGAUCCAAACAAUUGAAUAUAAGGGUAGGGGUAUACAAUAAUCAACUAAUGCAAAGGUUGUCUGAUUUGAUUUCAGUAAAUGUCAAUUAUUGGCUUUCAUUUUUAUGAUUGAAAAAUAAGGGGAGAUAAUUUUGACAUAGUAGAAUCCUGACUGCAAAAGUAGUAGGAAUGAAAAUUUCCAUAAUUUUUAUCUUAACAGCAUGCUGGGUUUAUUUUGAAUAAUGAAUUUAAAAAAAGUGUUAAUUUCGAAAGUUAUUGUUAAUAGGAAAAUGAAUGAGAGGUUUCCUGAUUUUAACUUGAUCUUUUGAGGAACAUUUUUUAUGCAUUUGGUUCUAACAUAACCUCAAUAAGUAAAUUCUUAGUUUCCAAUUUCUGUUAAAAUUAAUUGCAUAAAUUUACUUAAGGUAAAAAAAAUAACAGCAUUGUAGACAUAUUGCUUGUUCAUUUGGAUCUUUAAAGGCUAUUUCUUUUCUCUGUAAGAUGGUUUUUUAAACCUCUAAAAAAUAUUUGCUAAUCUGACCUGUAAAAUAAGAUUUUUCUUUCUUUAAUUCGUAAUUAUCUAAUAUUAGGAUCUAUUAGUAUGUCCAUCAAUAUCUCCAAUUCAAAUCUCCAGUAUUUAAUCCCUAAAGUUCAUGCCUCAGAUAUAUAUAUGUAAAGUUGGGUUACAUUAAACUGAAUUUAAGGUUUCAGCAACACCUGAGGGAUUGCUGCAGUGAUUUAAUAAGAUAGACAAGUUUUGGUUCCUACAACACCCUCAUCAGGAUUAAAACUACAGAAGAGCACAAAAUUCCCAAGUGAUAAUGUGUUCUUCACAAUUUGUCACCAUAAGAAGAAAUUAAAAAUAGAGAGUGAGUGAAGGUAUGACAGUAAACUGGAUUAAGAAUGUUAAAUAAAAUAUGUUUUUGCAAAUUUGGACGACAAUUCAUUGCAAUUAUGUACCAUUUCAACAAUAGAAGUAGUAUAGACCUGCAAAUCCAUACCCUUACAUCACAGGAAGUAGUAUGGUUGUCUGAGCGAAGCCAAUUGGAAGUACGUACCUCUUAGUGAAGCUAUUGGGAACACACCCUCUGUCUUGUUGCGAAGCUGAUUGGAAGCAGUACAUAUAUACCUCUGUCUGCUAAAGCUAAUUAGAAGCAGUACCCCUGGCAGAGAGGUCCCAAUUAGAAGUAUGUAACUUUGAGGGAAGCCAAUUGGAAGCAUGUACCUCUGCAAAAUUUGAUUAAAAAAUUAUUCAACAAAUUUUAUUUAACAUUCUUUUUACAGUUUACUUGCUUACCAACUCUCAUUUUCUAUUUAUAAUUACUCCCUUUUUUGACAUUGUGACGUGCAAAUUAUCACUUCACCAUUUAGUAGAUCAUUCUAAUAAAUCACUACAACACACGAUCAAGUACUGUUAUAAGUAGUAUAAUAGUUUAUUAAUUUUAGUUAAUGCACCUUUAAAUGAUAACUUAACUUACUGUAACUUUUUGAAAGCUAAGGUUCCUCAAGAUCUAUAGGGAGGUUGAUAUAAGUUUGGUGUGAAGGGCAUAUGAUACAGUAACAGGGGAGGUAAUGAUGUUGCUACUGUCUAAUGUUACUUUAAGCCAUGUCAAAAAGUUGCAUAUCAGGAAAAGACCCAUUUUUUGACUGAUUUAACAUGAAAAGGAAUUCAUGGACCUCUCUUUUUAAAAAUUACAUCAGGCUUGAAUAUGUUUAAAGAUUAUUUGUGCCAAUUUGAAGAAAUCACCAAUGGAAUUGUUCUAAAUAAUAUCAGUUUGUUAAUUAAUAUUUGAGGUCUUGAAAAAUCCUUGAAAUAAAAUAAUUACUCAUUGCACCAAAUAGAUUUUACUAGAAAUUAUUUUGUUAUGUAGUAGUUUUAAGUGAAAAUUGAAACUCUUAAUAUUUCUUUUAACAAUUUUAAAUUAUAAACCUCAUAUAUACUUUAAAAAAAUUGUUUUUAAUAAAUUAAGACAAUUUUCAGUUAAAAUUCAAUUUUAGAAUGAAUUCAAAGUUUUCCAAUGUAUAUAGCUGCAUACUAGGAAUUGGUAUUUGUUUACUUGACAAAAGUGGAUUUUUAUUUUCAGUCUUCAGGUCAUGUAUAAAAAAUAGAUUUCCAGAAAGUUGGCUUCUGAGGCUUGAACUUCUUUUCUUUACACUUCUGAACCCCAACCAAAAAGAUACACUAGUUUUCUCCGCCAAUUAAAAGUGCUUAAAAACAAUUCAAAAGUUUUGCUAUUUCAGUUAUUGUUUGGAUAUUAAAUACUCUUUUACUUUGAUAGAAACAAAUCAUCACAAUUUUAAUAUCUCAAAACGGACAUCAUGAGGACUCCCCAGUGAGAAUGUGGGAGCCCUACAGUUUUCACUUUGUUCGUCUGUCUACAAUUUUUGUAAAAACAAAACCUCCCAUAGAUAGGUAAAUUAAAAUUAUCUUUUCUAUUCACUGUGCUUCCAAGCACUUGGAUUACCAUUCUAGGGUUAUGCCCCUUUACAAAUGGAAAAAAUCCUGAAUGUUUUCGUUUCUGUUCUCUUAAUUUAAGUUUGUCUUAACUAAAUUUAAUGAAAUGUAUAUAUUAUGCUUAUUACCACUAAACUCAGUUUAAGUUCAAAUUUUGACAUCUUCACUUUUACUGUUCUUGAGUUAUGUCUCUUUAUAAAGUUAUAUGCUAGCAGGGGUAUCAUCUGUGUCCCUAUAGACGCAUUGACACCAUUUAUUUUUAUAAUAGUGGAAGCAGAUUAAUUGUUAUUUAGGUAUUUUGUAGCAUGAUGCCUUAUAAUUAAAUUUUGCUCGUGUUUCAUAGAAUUAUGGUUGGAAAUAUUUUGAAAACCUUCACUAUCUUCCCAGAGUGUCAAGUUACAUGAUCAUGUGUUUUGUUUUGAAUAGUUCUCCUUUAUUAUAGUAUGUGUCCAAAGUAUACCUCUUGAGUCAGUUCUUCCAAGCAAAUAGUUACAAAACAUUUUUCCACUACAUAUUGAUUUUAUCUGGUUUUAAAUACUUCAUUAAUUAUCAUUAUAAUGAUUUUCUUUAUGUGUAUAUAUUUAUGCUUAUGAGUUGUUGUAUUCAUGUAUAUUGUAUGUAUAAUAAUUCCUCAGUCAUAAAAGUACAACAUGAAUUGAUUGUCUUCUUGCUUAUGUGUAAUACAUGUACAUGUAGGCGUAGGAAUUUUAGCAUCAAAAUAUUUUAGUUGUAAAGUGACAUCUUUAUGUAUUUUAGUUCUAACUUGAAUUUUGAACAUUGUAUUUUUAAGGAUGUUGAAAGAGCAAAGAUUUGCAUAAUUUUGUAUUUUGAUAUAAAAUUAAUUUUUAUGAAGGUGGAAUGGCUUUUAUAUAUAUAAUAACAUAAUUGUAUUUCAACUUUUGUACCAUAUAUUUUAUAGUUGUAGUCCUAAAGACAAGAUUUCAUUUUUACUUACAUUAACAAACAAAACAAAACAAUAUACGUCCGAGUAUGUCUCGUGAGACGACUUGUCGCAUUGGGUCGGAGCAUAUAUGACUGUUAAUGCACCGAUGGGUCGGACCCAGGUUUCCAGUUUCCCAUUAUUGGGUUUGUUUGGUUGUUCCUGGCCGGCGAGGUCGUUGAUGAUCGAGUUAUCCAUUUGUUCAGUUAUUCAGUUUACAUUCAAGUCAACAUCUCUUGUUCCUACAAGGUUUACUUUUUCUAGCUAAGUUGUACCUACUAGUAUAUUUCAAGGUUUUUGUUAUUAGGAAUAAUUGUGGUUAUUGUUUUUUUCAUAUAUUUAUAUAUUAAGACGCAUGUAUGUAAUUUAUUAAUGAAUUCUGUUGUUCACUAUGCUUGCUGGGCUAUCGGCAACACUAUAUAUAUAGUAUUCAUUUAUGCCUUAUAAUAGAUAUGAGCGUAUAGGGUAUACAUAUAGUUAUUCAAAUGAAAAAGGUUGACAUGACAUUAUUUCUCUAGUACUGGUGCAAGUUAUUGAAUUCAUAUUGUAUAAUGUAUGUUUAUAUUGAUAAUUUGUCUUAUAAAAUGGCAGCUCACAAUAUGCUGUACUUGAGCUAGUCAACAAACAUAA